rnacentral:rRNA from 1 species
UACAGAGGGGGCAAGCGUUAUUCGGAAUUAUUGGGCGUAAAGGGCGCGUAGGCGGCAUGGCAAGUGGAGGGUGAAAUCCCUCGGCUCAACUGAGGAACUGCCCUCCAAACUGCUUUGCUUGAGUCCGGGAGAGGUGAGUGGAAUUCCCAGUGUAGCGGUGAAAUGCGUAGAUAUUGGGAGGAACACCAGUGGCGAAGGCGGCUCACUGGACCGGAACUGACGCUGAGGCGCGAAAGCGUGGGGAGCAAACGGG